UACGAAGGGUGCAAACGUUGCUCGGAAUCAUUGGGCGUAAAGCGCACGUAGGCGGCCUCAAAAGUCGGAUGUGAAAUCCCGUGGCUCAACCAUGGACGUGCAUUCGAAACUGCGAGGCUUGAGUAUGGAAGAGGGUCGCGGAAUUCCCGGUGUAGAGGUGAAAUUCGUAGAUAUCGGGAGGAACACCGGUGGCGAAGGCGGUCUGCUGGGCGGUGAACCCGUAAGGGUUCUAAUAGC
rnacentral:rRNA from 1 species